rnacentral:snRNA from 1 species
CGCGGGUGCACCGCCGAC